CAAAUGAGUAAAAACACUUUUUCAUGCAAAAAUUAUUAUUUUUUUUAGAAAAUCUUUUAGAAAGCCCUUGCAAACCCUAAUUUCGUCAAAAAUACCCAACCUACUCCUAUACGAUAGAUAGCUUGACAACUAAGCAUGGUAAUCAAACCUCUAUAAGGACACAAAUCCUUUUUAAAGAGGGGGAAAAAAGAAUCACAAUUCCUAACCCACAUCUCUACCUUAAAGUAGGAGUGUUCAAAAUUCAAUCCAAUUUGCUCAAUCUGUCUAAUCUGCAAAAAUUUGAUUGUAAAAAGUUCAAUUUGUAGCUUGAUGGAUUGCAUUGGAUUGAAAAUUUAGAAAUAUGCAUUUGUUGGAUUGAAUAUGAAUUUACUUAUGUAAAUAUGCAAAAAUCCACGAACUUGAGAAAUAAAACAAUAUUUGUUUAAUUAAAAAAUAAAACUUGUAAAUAUGACAUUACUACUUGCUAAUAAAUAAAUAAGUUAAAAUGUAGUUAUAUUAACACCAUAUUAUAUCUUACAACAAAAAUAGCUUCCUAAACAGUUAAUUUUCAUAACUAAUUUUCAUGUAUUUAUCUAAACAAAUGAGAUUUUUUGUUUUCAAUGUUAUAUUUUGAAACUUUGAAUGUAUUGUUCUACCUUUAUUUAAACAAUUAAUUUAUUUAAAUCUUAUUCAAUUUUGAAUUUAGUCGGUAGUAAAAUUAUUUUUAUUUAAUUAGUUUGUGGAUUAGACAGAAUUAAAAGUUUUUAAUCUGCAAACAAAUUCGUAAAAUGAUAGAUUGGAUAUGGAUUGGGUCAAAUUUACAUUCAAUCCACAAAUGUAUGGAUUGGAUUUAGAUUGGAUUGAAAAUUUAUAAUCUGUAAAAUAACGGAUUGGAUAUGCAUUGAUGUCCAAUUCACAAAAUUAGAUGCACAAACACUCCGACCUUAAAGCUUAAGUUUCGAGCUAUAUCUCACAAAAAAGGUAAAAUCAUCACUAGUUAUUUAAAGAAUUUGUCAAAGGAUGGGAAUAUUUCCAUCCCACAAUUUAUAUAAACAUAUCCUAUUUAAAAAAAUUAUUUACGAAAAAUUCAUAUUAUUUUUUUUCGACAUUUAGAAAUAGAGAAAAAAAAGUUUAAACAGUCAAUUAAUUUGAACCUUUCUUUCACUAACUCUCUUGACUAUUGUCGACCAUUAAUGUUGACCUAACAUAAGGGUGGGACUAUUAAAACCUACCAACCUACUCACCAAACUUAUUAUUGAAAACAAAUUUUAACUAUUAAAAUAUCUCUAAAUUAAAUCAAAAUUAUGGACACUAAAAUAUACCAAAGAAAAAAUAAUUUUUUAUUAAGAAAAUUCAUAAAAAUUGCAUGACUGUUUUGUUUUAUAGAUAAAAAAUUCCAAUGAGUAAAAACACUAAAUUUAUACAAAUUAGUAAUGAUGAAUUCUAUACGUGAGGAUAAAAACAAAAAAAAAGACACCAAUUUCGUGUGGCUAUUUGUUUAGAAAACAGAAAGGUGCUAAAAAAUAAUAUAUUGUUGUUGUGUGUGUGUGUGUGUAUAGAAAUGUUGUUGGGUAGUUUUCAUUUGGGAACAGAAUAAGAAGACAAUAGAAGAAACAAAACAAAAUGAAAUCACUCCAAGUUGAAGUAUUAAAGAACUUGGUUGAUUUUUCAGUCCUAAAAUUUAAGCAGUGUGAUACGAGAUUAAUUUUGUUGGUGCAACAACCCGUGCAGGCACUUAGAUAAUUUUUAGCACAAAAGUUGCUAAGCAAGCCUAGAGAACUUCUCAAACUAGCUAAGCAAAGAUGUUUGCGAAAAUGUUAGAGAGAAGACAAUAAAAUUGUCAAAGUGAAUUUUAUUACUUCGAGAAUUUACAAGAGAGCUUUUUACAAGAGUGCUUGAGUUGCUUGUGUGCCGGUGUGGUUGUGUGUGAUAAACAAAAUGGUGGGUGUUAGGCUCUGUUUAUAGAGUUGGUUGCCUAGCUCUUAAAGCUUCCUAGCAAGUGGUACAACUUGCCUAAAUAUCUCAUAGGACUAGAAUGCAAAAAUAUAGAAAUUUUUAGGCAAUUACAAAUUGUAGAGAAAUUUAAAAUUUGGGCCGGGCUUGUUCACUUGUUGAGUGCACUACAGUUGGCUAGUUGUGUGAGGCGGGCCACUGCUGAGCACACUCUACUGUUAAGCGCAGACUACUUAUAGGCGGACUUUUACUGAACGUAUCGGUGCACGCCAAUUUAGCCUCUAUUGGUGGAAAAUUUGAGCAGAUCGUGACACGUAGCUCUAUAUUUGCUCACAAGGGAGAAUCUAUUAUUAAUGAAUUUAUCUUUAUCAUCAUUACUGAAAAAAUUAGUGUUUUUUUAUUAAUUAUAGGAAAAAUUUACUCAACAUGAAUUUCAUACUGCAAGAAUUAAUAAUGAGCCAUACAGUUAUGGGAUUUUGAUGAAAGGAAAAAUAAGUUCAUAAAAAACUGCAUCUAUAUGCAUUCAUAAGAUCUAAAUCAAUUAAUAGGGGUUUAUAAAUGAAUUUAAUGAAUAAAAACACUAAUUUUAUAUAAAUUGAGUUCAUUAAAGAUAUAUUGGGUAUUUAGGUGGGUUUGCUUAAGAAUAAGUUUAAUGAGUAGAGUGUUGGAUUUAAAUAGCCUCUCUUUUAACAUUAUUCUUAUUUGACUAGUUUACCAUUAUAAUAUAAAAUGACCAAUUCAUCCAAAAAUGUGAACUUUUGUGCCAUACUAAUUUAGGUACUUAAUUUUUCAUCAUAUAUAAUCUAACAUUUUUAAUACAAACUGAAUAAUAUUUCAUUUAUAAAUAGUAUAAAUUCAACAACCAAUAAAUUUCACGAGACAUUAUGUUACAAAUACUAUUU
rnacentral:lncRNA from 1 species